CAGGGUUGAUAUUUUGUUUUUUUGUUUGAGAUGGAGUCUUGCUCUUGUCACCCAGGCUGGAGUGCAAUGGCAUAAACAUUUUUGAUGAGAAUUUCAGCAGGAGGGUGAAUAGAACAGUUGUCACGUGUAACAAAAUCUUGCAGUCAUCCUCCAGUUUAGCUUCCCUGCAGUGAGCAUGAACUUCUGGUACAAAACAUUGGAGCACCAAUCAGAAAAUAUGUCCCUGGUGAUCUGUGCACUUUUGUUAGCAUAAUAAUAGUCUGGUAAGAAAUCCACUCCCUUAAAAUAGUGAAGACAUAAGCUUUUGCCUGUCACAGCAAGUUUACAAUGUGUUUGUGUGCUGCAUUAGCAUAUCCCAG
rnacentral:lncRNA from 10 species